GACGAACGCUGGCGGCGUGCUUAACACAUGCAAGUCGAACGGUGAAGCGCCUUCCUUUUUGGUGGGUGUGGAUGAGUGGCGAACGGGUGAGUAACACGUGAGUAACCUGCCCCCUUCUUCUGGAUAACCGCAUGAAAGUGUGGCUAAUACGGGAUAUUCUGGGUCUGUCGCAUGAUGGGUCUGGGAAAGAUAUUGUUUCGGUGGGGGAUGGGCUCGCGGCCUAUCAGCUUGUUGGUGGGGUGAUGGCCUACCAAGGCGGUGACGGGUAGCCGGCCUGGGAGGGUGGACGGGUACACUGGGGCUGAGACACGGGCCAGACUCCUGAGGGGGGCAGGAGGGGGGAAUAUUGCACAAUGGGCGGAAGGCUGAUGCAGCGACGCCGCGUGAGGGAUGGAGGCCUUCGGGUUGUGAACCUCUUUCGCCAGUGAAGCAGGCCUGCCUCGUUUGUGGGUGGGUUGACGGUAGCUGGAUAAGAAGCGCCGGCUAACUACGUG
rnacentral:rRNA from 1 species